ACUUUUAUGGUGUAUAGCACAAGAAAUUUUCAAUUUCUAGGAAUAAAAUAUAUAAGUUUUUAUUAAAAGUU
rnacentral:tRNA from 1 species